rnacentral:rRNA from 1 species
AUUGAACGCUGGCGGCAUGCCUAACACAUGCAAGUCGAACGGCAGCCCGGGCUUCGGCCUGGCGGCGAGUGGCGGACGGGUGAGGAAUGCAUAGGAAUCUGCCCGGUUGUGGGGAGUAACGUAGGGAAGCUUACGCUAAUACCGCAUACGACCUCGGGUGAAAGUGGGGACUUCGGGCCUCACGCGAUCGGAUGAGCCUAUGCCCGAUUAGCUAGUUGGCGGGGUAAGAGCCCACUAAGGCGACGAUCGGUAGCUGGUCUGAGAGGAUGAUCAGCCACACUGGGACUGAGACACGGCCCCAGACUCCUACGGGAGGCAGCAGUGGGGAAUAUUGGACAAUGGGCGCAAGCCUGAUCCAGCAAUGCCGCGUGUGUGAAGAAGGCCUCGGGUUGUAAAGCACUUUUGUUCGGGAAGAAAUCCGUAUGGUUAAUACCCGUGCGGGAUGACGGUACCGAAAGAAUAAGCACCGGCUAACUUCGUGCCAGCAGCCGCGGUAAUACGAAGGGUGCAAGCGUUAAUCGGAAUUACUGGGCGUAAAGCGUGCGUAGGCGGUUUGUUAAGUCAGAUGUGAAAGCCCGGCGUCAACCUGGGAACUGCAUUUGAUACUGGCAGGCUAGAGUACGGUAGAGGGUGGUGGAAUUCCCGGUGUAGCGGUGAAAUGCGUAGAGAUCGGGAGGAACAUCCGUGGCGAAGGCGGCCACCUGGACCAGUACUGACGCUGNGGCACGAAAAGCGUGGGGGAGCAAACAGGA